UACGUAGGGUGCAAGCGUUGUCCGGAAUUAUUGGGCGUAAAGAGCUCGUAGGCGGUUUGUCGCGUCUGCUGUGAAAUCCCGAGGCUCAACCUCGGGCCUGCAGUGGGUACGGGCAGACUAGAGUGCAGUAGGGGAGAUUGGAAUUCCUGGUGUAGCGGUGGAAUGCGCAGAUAUCAGGAGGAACACCGAUGGCGAAGGCAGAUCUCUGGGCCGUAACUGGCGCUGAGGCGCGACAGCGUGGGGAGCAAACAGG
rnacentral:rRNA from 1 species